rnacentral:sRNA from 1 species
CGGAAGUGAAAAUGUGACAGGAUUGGACCUUUCAGAUUUCCCAGCAUUAGCAGACCGAAACAGGAGGGAAGGAAGUGGUAACCCAACUCCAUUAAUAAACCCCUUGGCUGGAAGAGCUCCUUAUGUUGGAAUGGUAACAAAACCAGCAAAUGAACAAUCCCAGGACUUCUCAAUACACAAUGAAGAUUUUCCAGCAUUACCAGGCUCCAGCUAUAAAGAUCCAACAUCAAGUAAUGAUGACAGUAAAUCUUCCCUGUCAGCUGGAUCCCAUGAAGUUUGAUAAUAUAGCCUUCUAAGGAGCUGUGUUUUUCUUGAAAUUUGAAUACAUCUGGCAAGACAACUUCAAGUACAGAUGGACCCAAAUUCCCUGGAGAUAAAAGUUCAACAACACAAAAUAAUAACCAGCAGAAAAAAGGGAUCCAGGUGUUACCUGAUGGUCGGGUUACUAACAUUCCUCAAGGGAUGGUGACGGACCAAUUUGGAAUGAUU